rnacentral:lncRNA from 1 species
ACAAAACAAUAUAAUGAAAUAUAGAGAAAUGUUGAAAAACAACAGUGGUAUAUAUAAUAUGACCCCAAUUUUUAAUCCAACACUACCUUGAUAAAUUCAGACUAUUAAUGCAAUUUUUCUUUAGGAUUCAGGACAUUCUUAAAGUGAACAGUCCAAAUUGUAUUUGCUGUCUAGAAAACCAACAGAAGUGUAGCUUAUCAAGGAAAAAGAUGAGAAGCUCCAUAAAAUUAUAAAAAGGAAGCAACAAAUUCCUGAAAAAUUUAGACCAUGUACACAAUCAAUUCAUAUUGUUCAAAGCAUGAGUCCUAAUUAAUUAGAAUAACAGCAGUAACAACUAUUAAGUACCUGCAUUUGGGAAUACUCUUAUUGCCUACCAAAAAGAAAAAUAAAACUACACCAAUUCAUAAUUUAUGCCAUGCAACUAAUGAGAAAUAUUGAGUUACUUUACAAUCCAUCAUUCACCUAUCUGAGCACAUAAUAUUUUUCAGCCCUAUGAAAUACCAAGUUCUUUAAUAGGGCAUGGAGAUCCCAAAGAUGAAUUAGACAGAAAUCUUGCCCUUAAGCAGGUCAAAACCUACUGGGUGAUCCAGGUAGGUAGACACUGACAUUGAAUGUGAUAAGCUCAACACUGAAGUUGUACAUAAAGGCUACGAAGACAGUGCAGCUGUAGGUCUUGGGUAAAUGGGAAAAGUUUUCAGAGAGGUUGAUUCUAGGCUGUCUUAAAAACUGUGAGGAGGUUGCCAAAUAGACAAAGGAGGGAAAGGCAUUCCCAGGAGAGAAUAACAGGUUCAAAAGCUUAGAGAUGGAAGAGGAUGCUUCCAAUCUGGGAAUCCCAGACAUUUUAGUAGAACUAGAAUGCAAGAUACUAGAUCUGUAGAGAAUGGGAAGAGUUGAAGUAAGCAGGGGGAAAAAGUGUCUUAAUGCUAUUCUAAAUAGUUUGGGUUUCAUAGCAGAGAGCCCAGAAAAUAUUUGGGACUGAGUAGUGACAUGAUCUCAUUUGUGUAUCAGAAAGAUUAUUCUAGGAUGAAUUUGGAGGCACUGAGGCUUAUUUUGGAGUUGGACUUAGACCUGCAGACACUUAUCACUGUUAGAUGGGCCCUUCCAAGAGAAUUUGUAAACAGAGAUCUUGCUCUCAGGAAAUUUAACAUUUAAUUCAUAGAACCCAAAAUCACAGCCUACAGAGAAAUGCACUUUCUUAAGGUAAUGUGUUCUGUUUGCCAGCACUUUGACACAAAGAGAAGUGCUGGCUUCAUAGAAAUAAUUAAUCCUCUUUUUCUGCCACUGGGAUAAACAAAGGAAAGAAAGAAAUAGAUGUUAUAAAAAAAUAAAAUCCAAGGCAGAUCAAAGGGGAUGUGGCGGAGGAUUCAGCAACUGCCACCCUUAAGCAAAGAACAGUAAUGAAGAAAUGAGUUUUGGCAGCCUAGCCAAUGGGAUAUGAAAGAAAUUAAUCCCGAAGGGAUGUAAUGACCUGAAAAAAAUGAUGAGCAAAGUCCAGAAGGAUUAGAAGAAAGAAAAAGGCAGCAGACAGGUAAGAGCCAUUUUCUUCUCUGUCUUGUCUAUCUGAAGGAUAUCAGAUAGUCCUCAGCGAUGGGAGCUGUGGAAAAGCAAGCCAAAGAAUUGAUUUGGCAAAGUCAUUUAAAUUUCUUAUUCUUCUUAUUCAUUUUUUCUCGUUAAGGCAAAGAAUGGUACUUUAAUUUACUGUCAUAACACAGGAACUAGCUAUUGAUAAGAUUAACCUUGUUCAAUCAUGAUGAAAUUCAGUAAACUCAGGACACAUUUUUGGAUACUUUGUUUUCCCAGCUAAAGAUAAGAGUUGCUCCUAAGACUCAGACCUUUAGUAUAAUGUACACUGAUGGUUUUUAUUUUUUUCUUUCCAGAAUGGACUUCAGUGCAACAGGGAAUUAAACUGAAAUCAUUAAAUUCUUUCUGCUUAGCACUUUAGAGAAAAUUUCUAUCAGCCUGCCUAAGUGCUCACCAUGGGAAACUGAAACCAGGAAUUUAAUCUCAAAUUUCUGAAGACAUUCAGACUUAUCCAUUGUUCUAUGAAUCAGGAAUAUGUUAACAGAAGUUCUGGUUAUUGAAGAAUCUUCAGAAUGAAAAUCAAAUUAUGAAAUCCCCAGGUAAUUUGACUUCAUGGCCAGCAUUGCAUCUCAGAAUAUUUUUUAUAAGGGCUACAAAAGUGUGACUAUUAAGCUUUUAAAAAAAAUUAAAAUAUCUUUUCAGUUGUAAUAUUCCCACCAUGGGUGAAGUCUGCUGUCUGAUUGCUAGAAUUUUGGCCGAUGCCUUCUUGCACCUCUAUGAACCCGACUCCAGCCCCUCCCCUCUAAUUACUGCCCACAGUGAAGAGAGAAUUUCUGCCCACUCCCUGCAAGCCCAGGUUGGAAAUGUUUGAGGAGGCAUUUAUCAUGAAAGCCGUGGCCUUUGCUCCUAAAGCUUCGUCUCACAAGUACAAUAACAAAAACUGCUAAUUAAAAGAGGGAAAACAACCAGGAGUCAAACACAAAGGGGCAUCCCUGCCUCAUCAGCACAGAACAAUCGACCGGCUCCCUUCACUGCCCAUGCGAGGCUCCAUGUGAGGAAGCCUGCUCUGCCCUUCCAGGAAGCAGGUGUGGGAAUAGAAGGAGGCACCACUCAUCUUCUGCAGAAAAGCAAAAUGAAGACAUCAUCAGAGAGCAGCACUCAUUGGAAGUAGCUCCUCGGGUUCCCUUCUAAUGUCAGGGUGAGAAUUCAGGGCUCUCUUGAGAGCACUAUUAUGUGCCUACUAUGUGUCAGGCAGAACUGGCUACAAAAUUCAAGGGGCCCAGAGUGAAAUGAAAAUGUGAGGUACCUUGUUCAAUAAUUAUGAAGAAUUCUAGGAUGGCGAGAGCAGAGCAUUAGAGGAAAGGCAAGGUCCUGUGCAGCUGCGCGGGUCACACACCCAUGCAGCCAACCCUGGUGCCAGGCACAGCUAUACCCACAUUAGCUCCUGUCUUUUACUGAAUAGCACAAUAACUCUGCAAUACUGGAGGUUUUUAACAUUAUCCAGGCUUUACAGAAGAAGCUACCGAAGCUCAGAAAGUCAUUUUAUUCAAGGCCAAUCAGCUAAUUAGAGCUCAGGUCUCCUACUAAACACCAGAAUCACAGCUAGCCACUCCACAACAUACAGAGGUCAGUAAACCACUCAACAUUGUAUCUGAACUUCCAGUCUUCCAAUAUCUGAACUCAAUCAGGUAAGUCUCCUAAACACGCCCUACCUGUUCUAUCUGUGCUUUGCUCAGUUUUCACCAAAUAGGUAUUAGCUAAAUAAACAUGUGGAUGAACACAGCAUCCAUUACAAUAGUAAUAUAAUAUUAUCAUACUUACAUUGUAUAAUAUAAUAAUGUACUUCAUUCAAUUCUCUACAUUUUUUAAAGUAUUGUCACAUAUUUUAUUUUUUUCUAGGAAAUUUUUAUUGCUGAGUGUUUUAAAUUAUACUCAUGAUUUAUAAAUUCUCACAAUUCUGAGCCUGCUAUAGGACAAGAGAUGUAUCUGCCAACAUUCAUUCAAAGUUGUUGGCUAAGCACUGUGCUAGCCACUGGGGAUGCAUGCAUAUACACAAAUGCUCUAGUGCAUUUCUUUCCCUUAAAGGCCUUGCCAUCUAACAGGACUGACAGGAAAACUACAGAAAGCACAGUAGUGUGGUAAGUGCACGAGUAGGGUAUGGACAGGCUCAGCAGGGUCUGAAAUAAAUCAGACCUGGGACUUGUGAAAUGUUUACAAAGAACAAGAUGCUUUUUAAAGGUGCAUAAAAGGUGUUUGUUUUGUUUUGUUUUUGAGACAGGGUCUCACUCUGUCGCCCAGA